AGGACGAACGCUGGCGGCGCGCUUAACACAUGCAAGUCGAGCGAGAACCAGGGCUUCGGCUCUGGGGACAGCGGCGAACGGGUGAGUAACACGUGGGUAAUCAACCCUCGACAUCGGGAUAGCCCGGGGAAACCCGGAUUAAUACCGAAUGCUCCGUCUGGCCUUCGGGCCGGCCGGAAAAGGUAGCUUCGGCCUCCGGUCGGGACGAGCCCGCGGCGGAUUAGCUUGUUGGUGGGGUAAAGGCCCACCAAGGCGACGAUCCGUAGCUGGUCUGAGAGGACGAUCAGCCACACUGGGACUGAGACACGGCCCAGACUCCUACGGGAGGCAGCAGUGGGGAAUCUUGCGCAAUGGGCGAAAGCCUGACGCAGCGACGCCGCGUGAGGGAAGAAGGCCUUCGGGUUGUAAACCUCUUUCAGGAGGACGAAGCCACUCGGGUUAAUAGCCCAGAGGGUGACGGUACCUCCAGAAGAAGCCCCGGCUAACUACGUGCCAGCAGCCGCGGUAA
rnacentral:rRNA from 1 species